UAAAAUCUUAAGUUAAUUAAAAACUAUUAGCCUUCAAAGUUGAAAUUGAAAAUAUCAGAUUUU
rnacentral:tRNA from 1 species